rnacentral:rRNA from 1 species
CCUACGGGAGGCAGCAGUGGGGAAUAUUGCACAAUGGGGGAAACCCUGAUGCAGCGACGCCGCGUGCGUGAAGAAGUAUUUAGGUAUGUAAAGCUCUAUCAGCAGGGAAGAAAAUGACGGUACCUGAUUCAGAAGCCCCGGCUAACUACGUGCCAGCAGCCGCGGUAAUACGUAGGGGGCAAGCGUUAUCCGGAUUUACUGGGUGUAAAGGGAGCGUAGACGGCAGCGCAAGUCUGAAGUGAAAUGCCGGGGCUUAACCCCGGAACUGCUUGGGAAACUGUGCAGCUAGAGUGCAGGAGAGGUAAGUGGAAUGCCUAGUGUAGCGGUGAAAUGCGUAGAUAUUAGGAGGAACACCAGUGGCGAAGGCGGCUUACUGGACUGUAACUGACGUUGAGGCUCGAAAGCGUGGGGAGCAAACAGGAUUAGAUACCCUAGUAGUC